rnacentral:misc_RNA from 1 species
CAACCAACGCUCUACGGCGUGCUUAAUUGUGCGUGCAGUAGGAGUUGAACUGAGUUUCAUACUGUUUAUUUAGUAUGUGACUUUAAGCAACGACAGACGUUCCUGGCUGCUUUGAAAGCACUAAGUUUGAACCUGUCGGCCAAAAGCAAUGCGGUUAAUUUGUCCUUCGGGGUGAAUACGACAUGCGUUUGUUUGAAGCUGACCUCUUGUAAAAAGGAGAAAAGGGUAUGAGCUGAAGCUAUCGAGGUGCUAAGAGCAACUUACUCAGUCUUUGGACUGGUAAACUCCAUUUUCGA